rnacentral:misc_RNA from 1 species
AUGUUGACCGCGGGCGGAUUCGGCGCGGUGGAAAAAUUCGUCAUCAUCGCGGAGGUCACAUCGCCGAUCCACGCAUCGACGAUGCCGGGCGAGACGCCGAGCGUCACCGUCGAGGUGCUGACGUNAGCCGCACGAAAUGGCGUUGAGCGUCGCGGUGCCCGCCGCGAUCUCGACAUAGACCGGAAGGUUGACCACCGACACCGCGCCUGAACCGACAAGCUGGAUCUUCAGCAGCACGCGCGUCUGC